UGAGGAUAACAUCUCUGGGCUGGUACACUAAAAGCUGUAUUUUUUAUAGUCUGUCUUUUACCGAGUACCAGUAAUGGCUGUAGAAGGGUGUUUGUGAUUCCGUUGUCUUCCUGUUUCAGCACCGUACAGCACAGGCAUGGUCAGCAGCGCUGUUUCUGCAGCAGAGCAAUGUUCUUUUCUCCCAGGCCUCCAACAACAGUUGAUGGAUGUGCACAGAGACUUUGGGGCAAGUUCCUGAGCUGAAACUGCAGUCUGCCUAAAAUCCCAGGCAUUUCCCCUGACAACCGUCCCUCCCCUGCACACCCAGACCAACUCAGGACAAACUGGUUUUAUGCCAGCCCUGCCAGAUAUCAAGGAAAUGAAGGAGAAAAGCACAGAAGUAUCUACUGGAAUCAUGGAUAUAACCUUUUGCAAAGGGAAAAGCCCUUGGUGGAGAAGGAAACCCACAAACCAUACGAAAGUUUAUUUGGAGACAAAGUAGGAAGGGUAAGAAUUAUCCUAAGCUCUUGUUUUCAAAACAUGCAUUACAUAUUAUUUAUUUAUGUAUUUAUCCAUUGUCUUCUUCCAAAGCUUUUCUUACAACCUCACUUGAAAAACUACAAUGUGUGUUAGCCCAAGGACCCAGUCUGACUGCACAAGUGCUGUCUGGGUGCCUAUCAAUAACUUCUGAAACCAUAGGUCAAUUGUAAUUGAAUUUGGCAGGCUGGCAUUUCAGAAAGAAAGUUUGUUCUACUUACAUUAAGCACCAUCUUUACUCUUAGGGUGGUGAGGCACCGGAACAGGUUGCCCAGAGAAGCUGUGGAUGCCCCAUCCCGGGAGGUGUUCAAGGCCAGGCUGGAUGGGGCUUUGGGCAACCGGGUCUGGUGGGAAGUGUCCCUGCCCAUGGCAGGGGGUUGGAAGUGGGUGAUCUUUCAUGUCCCUUCCAACCCAAACCGUUCUGUGAUUCUAUGAAAUAAUGGGUAGGUACAAAAAUGCCAAAGGAUGUUCCAGGCUGCAAGCUGAGCUCAGCUCAUCUUACAGAAAAGAGGGCUUUAUAUCAGAGCACAAGGUCUUAGUACAGGCUGCAUAUUUUUCAUGAUACAUAGGAAUACAUACUUAUUUUAUGACUUGUAUUCCAUUUCUUCCAGAUGUCCAGAGACUGUGGCAUGAGAUGCAAUUGAAAGAACAACCAUUACCCAUAUUUUAAAAGGAAAACCUACAGGAAAAAAAAAAAAAAAAAAGUUUUGUUUUGAACUCCUAGGUUUCAUUUUUCAAAUUCAAAGAGAGAAAGAAAAAACUUUUUUUCCUGUUCUACCUGUAAAAUUAUAUUACUUCUUGGUUUUGAAAAGGUCAUAUCACCUGAUGUAGUAAUUGCAUGCAGCUGUUAUGUAAUUGUUCCUCAUAUUUCUAUAAAAGGCAGUAAUUGGAAUAGUUUCUUGAAAGUUAUUAUGUGGCAGGUACUUCCUGGGGACAACAACAAUAGCUAUUCAUCUGGUGGCAACAGUCCCCCAUAGGGAGCUCAGAGCUGCCCGUGGGAGCUGCUGUGGACCUGGGGAAGUU
rnacentral:lncRNA from 1 species